GAAACCUUCUUAUAGAUACCAUUCUAAAGAUUAAGAUAGCCGUCAUGCAGUGAGCGUGAGGAAGUUGCCAAUUACCCAAACUAUUUUGGAGCACAAUGGUCCAAUCGGAAAAGAAGCUACCACGAGAACAACCAAAUCAGCAGAGGCAAAACUAUAUUAUUUACAACUUCAAAUCAACAGGCAUAAAAAUCGAACUGCCAUAAGAAUGAGUAUCUUGACAAGUUUCCUUGCA
rnacentral:lncRNA from 1 species